GGUACUGCGAAGCAUGUAGAAUCAAUCGAUCGAUGAAGAACGAUAGAUCACAGAUUGAUGAUGAACAAUCCAGCCUGCGAUUGAUGAAUCAGAACAGAUUUGAAGAGUCACAUGCGACGAAUACUAACGCCGGUUGGUCACCGGAAUCUAUUCUCCGAUAAGUGGAACCUCAAAGCCAAUCAGUUUGCGGUUCUCUGCUUCUUCCUACAAGCCGCCUCUUCCAUUGUUCAAACAGCAAAACCCUAUAUAUCGACUCUACACAGGGAUAGUCAAUUCAUGUGUGAUUGAAUCUAGAUUUCGAAAUCCUUCUGAAUAUGCACAAAUCCGUAGAGAAUCCUUUUGAUUAGGCACAAAUCUUUCAGAGUUGCGGGAAAAAAUCAUAAAGCUAAGCUUGCUGAUCAGCUUCUCGUAGCAGAGAAGAUAAAGAGAGUUGUUCAAAAAGAGCUUCAAAGAAGAUGGAGCUGCAAAAAAAAUUGGAGGCGACUUGGUUUAGCUGGAACAGCUAAGUAACUGACGCUUGGAUGACACAAGUGGGUCACGGUAUCGCCCUCUCUCUCUCUCUCCCAUAAAAAAACACAGCCAAAAACACAAUCGAAACAAGAAAAACACUAAACGCACGAGAAAAAGAACACAACCAAAACAAAAACUUCAUAAAACACAAAAAUGCACCAUCACAUAAACUACACAACUUCACGUUCACAUAAACUCCACAUUCACAUAACCUCCACGUUCACAUAAACUCCACGUUCACUCAGCUUCACGUUCACAUAACCUCCACGUUCACAUAAACUCCACAUUCACAUAACCUCCACGUUCACAUAAACUCCACGUUCACUCAGCUUCACGUUCACAUAACCUCCACGUUCACAUAAACUCCACGUUAACUCAGCUUUACGUUCACAUAAACUUCACGUUCACAUAAACCCCCACUUCACGGUCACAUAGAGUUUGCUACUUUGAUUCCUCUGCAACACAUAGAAUAUGUAUGACUGUAUUUGGCUUCGUACACUCCAGUCUCUUGGAUUAAGACAGCUGAUUCGGAAUGUCCUGUACAUCAGGCGAUCCAAAUAUUCUCUUUUGUGCCUACAUCUAUUUUGCAGAAUUCAAAUAUCUCAAGAGGGAACGAGAGCAGAAAAAAAAUGAACAAUGGCUGGUGGUGGACUUAC